UCACUAUAAGGAACUGGUUGUAGGAAUUAAAAAGAAAUGUAAAUGUGAGAAACAAGUUCCAGACCCUCCCACUGGUUUUCAGUCCUUGUUAAAAGAAGGAUUGAAAGUGCAAGUGCAACAUAAAGCUGACAAAGAAGCAAAGUUGUCUAAGCAGUGCAAACAAGCUCGAGCAGUAAUUAAUGUUGUGAAAAAUGCAUUUGGUUCAGAUACUGUUUUAAAGGACAGCUUAAAUCUCUUGGAGUAGAACCUCUAGAAGGAGGUAACUGCUGGAAGAGGAAAGGGUGUUGGAGGCCAGGCAAAGGACAUGUCACGAGAAUAUAUUGAAACAAACCUGGUAUUAUUUGCCAAACAGUGUAAAGUGAUGGUAUUGAUAUUAGUACAGCUCUUAUUCCAGGGUGUGGUGAACACUGGUUACAAGGACUUGCCAAAUAGAAUGGCUACUCAAGCCAGUAGCCUUUAUUCCAGUAACAUCUUGAAAUUGUUAAAGCUGUUUCUCCCAAGAAGGAGAAUAUUUUCGCUUUGAACAACAGGAUGAUUUAGAUUAUGGGGCUAUUGAUCAUGUCAUUAAAGGAAUUUUGGUAAUGAAGUAAAUAUACGUAUUUCUGUGAGUGACAAAAUGACCAAAGAAGAAAAUGUUUAAGAGAAUUAAUGGGAAUAGCGAGAAGGCAUGAUGAGAACUUGGAUGUCAUCUCAGCUAGGACAGCCCCUGAAGUCUCUUCUUGCUAACCAUGAAGGUGAAAAAUAAUUACAGACUUCUGGAUCAUAAGAGUGACUAUUCAGGUGAAAUUUAAUUUCUGAACAGGUGACUUCUUAAUUACGCAGAAUGCUGGAUAUGUUCCAAUGACCUACUCCAGAAUAUGAUUAUCUCUGCCUUCUUCCUAAAGCAGCAUUUAAAGGAGGGUAUGGGCCUGACACUGACAGCUGUAGGUGGAGCAAAUAUGCCUGUUACUAAAAUACCAGUUACUCUGGCUGAACCUUGUGUGCAGAACUUCUUGACAACAGUCUUGACAAUUGUGGGUUUCUUGACUGGUUCCUCUGAAUGGAGCUAUUCUGUCAUGUGCUGUGUGUGUGGCCGCAAUCAGAUCUUUGCCAAAUGUCAUUUUUGGGGGGGAUUUGUCACAGCAUCUACAGCAGGAAGGAAACGCAUGGAAUUUUGGAACUUACAUUGAAACUGGAUUAGACCAAGCUAUUGAAAUGAUAAAGGAGACAAACUGUA